CGCGGCCGGGGUAACUUCGGUCUGCGGGGCGCGAUAAAAAAUGGAAAGAAGAAAUCUUUAAAAAACAGUCCUUUCCGUCAGAAGGAACAGCUGCUACAUUCCCUUACGGCAUGUUGCCAGACCCUGGAUUUUGUUGACUCUAGAGGUGAAGUGACAGAUAAAGGAGUCUAUAAAGUCUACAGAAGCACAGGAAAGACAGAAGGAGAGAUACUAGCCAGAGACAGAUAAAACAAGAAUGCAUCUCAUGCAGAAGCUGCAAAUGUGAGAUUUGGAAAUGCAUCAGAGGAAAAAAAAUCACAAGCAGAAUAAAUGUUUCUGUGAUCAACUGAACUCACAAAGCCCAAUUCAAGGCAGGAGUGUCAUCUGUACAGAGGAGCAUACCAAAGGGCAUGAAGAUGCUUUUUUAAAAAGUGAUACAACAAGGAAAGAAAAAUAUCCAGUUUUAUGAUGUGUCCUGUGCAAAACCACUAUGGAGGGCUCAAACCUAAGGAUCUGCCCAACAUCUUUGAUCCCACAGGUGGAUGAGAGGUCACCACUGAACAUAUUGAAUAAGUCCGUGGCCACCAGCAUGUUGCAGGAACUUGGAGAGAAGUCGCAGCUCCUUGCUGGUAUGAGACUGGUAACAUGCUAACCUGUAGCUGGAGAGAACUCACUGAGGGGAUUGAUUACGAUAAUUAGCCCCAGAAGUCACUACUGUACAGAAGUGUGGGAACCAGGUGAAGCCAAGUCUCAGAGGAGGUUGAAAGUGGUGCUCUUGAAUCCAGAUGUACAGAGUGGGAAAUCACUGCCAUCAGAAGAGAACAAUGCAAGAAAGGCUUUGCUUUACCAGCCUGCACUACGAAGGAAAAAAGAAAACCUGAGAUAGCACCGAACAUGUCUCUCGGAAGUAAAGCAGUGGUGGCGUAUUUUGGGAAUUGACUGCAUACACCUUCAGAAAAUGUCUGACCUUCCUCUGCAGCCCUUAAGGAAGGGCAUACUUCCAUCUGCAGAUGCUCUCUCAAUUACCUCAGGUAUGCAGAGAUCACAAGGGAAGAGGAAGAACAGCCAAGCUCCCAAGAAACUCCUCUCCUUAUACAUCAGAUGCACCUCCUCACAGCAUGUAGCAGGAACCAUACUCUUACCCUUCCAGGACUUCUGUUUUACUGAAUAGUAACAUCAAAUCAGAGAAGCUGCCUAUGGCUGGGCUCUAUGUAAAUAAAAGGAAUGAAUUCUAUGCCAUUAAUUCACAGUAAGGAAUCUAAACUAAGUUUGGACAAUGAUGGCUCCAAUGCAAACACUGCUGUUUCUCAUAACAAGACAAGGUGACAUGAUUUCUCAUUGCAUCUUCGGUGGCUCAAGGUUCACUUGUGUCUUUGAGGCAAGUUUGCUUUUAUUGAUACCUCUC